rnacentral:rRNA from 1 species
GAAACAGCCCAGACCACCAGCUAAGGUCCCAAAAUAUAUGUUAAGUGGAAAAGGAUGUGGGGUUGCACAGACAACUAGGAUGUUGGCUUAGAAGCAGCCAUCAUUUAAAGAGUGCGUAAUAGCUCACUAGUCGAGUGACCCUGCGCCGAAAAUGUACCGGGGCUAAACAUAUUACCGAAGCUGUGGAGUACACCUUUAGGU